rnacentral:lncRNA from 1 species
GAGUGCGUAUAUUUGUGUGCGCGCGAGUGCGUUUUGUGGGCGUGCGUAUGUAUUGCAUAAGGCCGGUAGAGUUUUACUCGCAAUAAAACUUCCAAUUUGGUGCAGCGAGUGUUGCCGCCUGAAAGCCGAGUUUGGUUUCAAGCCAACCUGGACAACUGCUGUAUGAGGCGCUGUUUCUCAGGAGGAUCAGUGGGAAGGCGUCAGGUCAUGCAGAUGAUAGCAUCAAUUUCACAAUGCCCAGCCUUGGUGCCCUCCAUUAAGAGCAAGCCACUUGCGUUCGCCUUCAGGCAGAUGGUUGAUGUCUUCUAGGAAGCAGUUGGGAAGACUACAUUGAUGCAAGAUUCCAGCAAUGCCAUGCGCUGCAUUUAUUGGUCAAGAUGCUCAGAGAAUGGAGUCCCUGCACCUC